UGCAGAAUCCCGUGAACCAUCGAGUCUUUGAACGCAAGUUGCGCCCAAGGCCAUCAGGCUUAGGGCACGUCUGCCUGGGUGUCACGUGACGUGUCGCUCCCUUCUAGAUUUUGGGAGGAGCGGAUCAUGUCCUCCCGUGCCCUGUCAUGUGGUGCGGCGGGACCAAAUGCUUGAUACUGUUGAUGGACGUUCUGGCGAUUGGUGGUUGUGCCUAGCGUGCAAACGUCGUCCCACGUCCAAUCGUUUGCGGAUAUCAGACCCGUUGGAGUCGAAGUGAUUUGGCUUACGAAAUGCGAUCCCAGGUCAGGCGGGACUACCCGCUGAGUUUAAGCAUAUCAAUAAGCGGAGGAGAAGAAACUUACAAGGAUUCCCUUAGUAACGGCGAGCGAACCGGGAAGAGCCCAGCCUUAGAAUCGGACGGCCACGUCGUUCGA
rnacentral:rRNA from 1 species